rnacentral:tRNA from 1 species
GCCGCCAUCGCAUAAUGGUAUUGCACCAGGUUGCUAACCUGGACCCUUCGGGGUGCCUGGGUUCGAUUCCCAGUGGCGGCG